rnacentral:rRNA from 1 species
GACGUAGGAGGCGAGCGUUGUCCGGAUUCAUUGGGCGUAAAGAGCACGCAGGCGGUUUGGCAAGUCGGAUGUGAAAACCCGAAGCUCAACUUCGGGCCUGCAUCCGAAACUGCCCGACUAGAGGUAGGUAGGGGGAGAUCGGAAUUCCUGGUGUAGCGGUGAAAUGCGCAGAUAUCAGGAGGAACACCGGUGGCGAAGGCGGAUCUCUGGGCCUUACCUGACGCUCAGGUGCGAAAGCUAGGGGAGCGAACAGG